GAUGAACGCUGGCGGCGUGCCUAAUACAUGCAAGUCGAGCGAACGGACGAGAAGCUUGCUUCUCUGAUGUUAGCGGCGGACGGGUGAGUAACACGUGGAUAACCUACCUAUAAGACUGGGAUAACUUCGGGAAACCGGAGCUAAUACCGGAUAAUAUUUUGAACCGCAUGGUUCAAAAGUGAAAGACGGUCUUGCUGUCACUUAUAGAUGGAUCCGCGCUGCAUUAGCUAGUUGGUAAGGUAACGGCUUACCAAGGCAACGAUGCAUAGCCGACCUGAGAGGGUGAUCGGCCACACUGGAACUGAGACACGGUCCAGACUCCUACGGGAGGCAGCAGUAGGGAAUCUUCCGCAAUGGGCGAAAGCCUGACGGAGCAACGCCGCGUGAGUGAUGAAGGUCUUCGGAUCGUAAAACUCUGUUAUUAGGGAAGAACAUAUGUGUAAGUAACUGUGCACAUCUUGACGGUACCUAAUCAGAAAGCCACGGCUAACUACGUGCCAGCAGCCGCGGUAAUACGUAGGUGGCAAGCGUUAUCCGGAAUUAUUGGGCGUAAAGCGCGCGUAGGCGGUUUUUUAAGUCUGAUGUGAAAGCCCACGGCUCAACCGUGGAGGGUCAUUGGAAACUGGAAAACUUGAGUGCAGAAGAGGAAAGUGGAAUUCCAUGUGUAGCGGUGAAAUGCGCAGAGAUAUGGAGGAACACCAGUGGCGAAGGCGACUUUCUGGUCUGUAACUGACGCUGAUGUGCGAAAGCGUGGGGAUCAAACAGGAUUAGAUACCCUGGUAGUCCACGCCGUAAACGAUGAGUGCUAAGUGUUAGGGAGUUUCCGCCCCUUAGUGCUGCAGCUAACGCAUUAAGCACUCCGCCUGGGGAGUACGACCGCAAGGUUGAAACUCAAAGGAAUUGACGGGGACCCGCACAAGCGGUGGAGCAUGUGGUUUAAUUCGAAGCAACGCGAAGAACCUUACCAAAUCUUGACAUCCUUUGACAACUCUAGAGAUAGAGCCUUCCCCUUCGGGGGGCAAAGUGACAGGUGGUGCAUGGUUGUCGUCAGCUCGUGUCGUGAGAUGUUGGGUUGAGUCCCGCAACGAGCGCAACCCUUAAGCUUAGUUGCCAUCAUUAAGUUGGGCACUCUAAGUUGACUGCCGGUGACAAACCGGAGGAAGGUGGGGAUGACGUCAAAUCAUCAUGCCCCUUAUGAUUUGGGCUACACACGUGCUACAAUGGACAAUACAAAGGGCAGCGAAACCGCGAGGUCAAGCAAAUCCCAUAAAGUUGUUCUCAGCUCGGAUUGUAGUCUGCAACUCGACUACAUGAAGCUGGAAUCGCUAGUAAUCGUAGAUCAGCAUGCUACGGUGAAUACGUUCCCGGGUCU
rnacentral:rRNA from 1 species